CAAUGACAUUCAAUUCGUAUUAUCUGUGAUGACAAUAUUCCGAGUACUGUGAUGGUGUCUUCAUUUAUGUAGCAGUGUGACAGUACAUUUAAGAAAGUGGUUGCAGUAUGUGUAUAUAUGUUCGUUAUUUGUGAAUUUAGGUGUUAUAUGUUGAGAAACUGUGCCGUAAUUUGCUCGUCUGCUGUUGCCGCCAAGCGCACUCGUUUUAUGUGAUAGCUGUUGGCCCACUUCGUGGGUUUACACAACUUUUUAUUCGAUGAUGUUUGAAUCGAAGUUCUCAGUACGGGAGGUCAGACUAAAAGAGUUGAGUUGCGGGUUUGGGUCGAAAGCGGGUUUUUUGAGACCCGCACGGGACUUCGUUGCCGCCCCCGGUAUGGCACGAGCCCAACUGAACAUUCCAGGACGACGCGUGCCAGCGUCGCGGAUACUCCCGAGCGUCGCUCCGGAAACGCCCGAGAGCGAGGUUUUACAGGGGAACACAGCCGUCCCAUCAUCGCCGAGGAGUAAGAGACGGGGAGGUGGCGGGUUGGGCGCUGAGAAAGAUGCGAGGAACUCAUCGCUUCGUACCGGUGCAUACGACGACGACGACCGUGCAGGCCGCACGCCCUCACGUACCCUCGCUCGCGUUCAGCUCUUCUGCACUCGACGACACAAACAACCAUUUCGACAAGUAGCACGCAGGGUGAAGAAGAGAAAGGCAGAGUGAAAGAUAAAUUAAUUAAACGAACUUUGCAUAAAAGUUUAAAAAAUAGAAAACUUUUUAGAAGCAAGAAGAAACGUGGACGAAUAAUAUUAUAUACCGAAUAUUGUAAAACGAAUUAAGUGAAAGAAGGGGGCCAUCAAGAUAUUAUUAGAAAUAGUUUUAUAAUUAUAUCGUCACCAUCUGAAUGUGGGAUGUCAAGACGACAGUCAGCUGAUGCAGAAUAGUUGAGUGAGCGAGCAACGCCCCUCACAGCAGAAGUCACUCCGGCCGAAGAUGGCCGACUGGGUGUCACGUGAAUAUUAAUAGCAUCGGUGACCAUAAUUCUGUUUGCUCCGCAAAACCAAGUUGUCUUAUCAUACAACAAUAUGCGUAGCGGAAGAUAGAAUACAUUUUGAAACAUCUCCCCUAAGAAUUUGUUAGUUCCGACUUUGAAACUUUCCAUUUUUUAUAUUCCAAAUGUAUAAAAGUAAUGUGAAGCUUUGUGUAAUAGAACUUGGAACAUGGACACGUAUGAAGGACAUACGUAAUUAAUGUGGCAAUGGUUAUUGAAGUACGGUGUAAUCGGUUGUAUCUCGCUCGUGGUCGUGAACAAGAAGAGACAGUGGCACGUGCAGCAACUCUGUAACCAGGACCGAUUCUUGUUGGUGUGUGUGUGUCUGUAAAAUGAAAAAUACCUUGCAUGAUUUCACUGACAUUUGAGAACAGUUACUGCUUCUGUCGUUGAUGCUGGAGACAAGCAGUUCAUGAUGUCGAAAUCUCUGGUUAAUGAAGUGCCUCGUCCAUCGGUUCAUGCUACCACCCCUGAACGUAAGGAUGGUGUUGCAUUACCUGUGCUGCCUCCCCCGCGUGCUACAAGAGGCGAAAACCAGUCCGAAAUGUGUUUACCAGUCCUGCAGGACCCGUUUCCCUUGAGUCCAGAAACAGAUAAGGAAGAUAUCGCUUCUGAAGAUGAGGAUUCUGCAACGAGAUCGCCAACCCCGUGGUUCAUGAAGCAUGGUUGCAGUAUCACCGCUGUCGCCAUCAUUGUCCUUAUCGCCGUCAUCUUGUUUCCACCCGUAUGGUUGAGGAUUGGAGUUUGACUGGAGCUGAAUGUCUUUUGGACGUCAGUGAAGAAGUUUGGGAACUUGUGCUGUGGUGGAGACUGAUUUCGUGAUAUAUUUGGUGAUCGUGGAUGGUGUCGGGAGUGAGCGAUUGUGCGAAUUUUUUGUAGUAGAAUGAUGAGAGAAGUGGUAGUUAUAAUGGUUCCUGGUGGCUGGUAAAUUUGCUGCUGCCACUCCCGUUUUAUCAACUUGUUCGUAUCGCCAGAAUGCCCGUGAGCACCGGAGCUGGCUCUUCGAACGCCGACCGCGCCAAACGCUGCAAGCACUGUGAAGAGUCUGGGCACCGGUUGGAUAGUGGGAAUCUGUUCUGGAGGAUCCAGUUGGACCAGGAUCUGCUGGAUACAAUCAUCGCCAUAUACCCGGAGUGGUUCAAGGAUUAUAACCUAAGCCGGGUGGGGUCGACUAUGGCUGAGGGGGGGUGC